CCUACGGCGGCUGCAGUGGGGAAUACUGCACAAUGGGCGCAAGCCUGAUGCAGCCAUGCCGCGUGUGUGAAGAAGGCCUUCGGGUUGUAAAGCACUCUCAGCGGGGAGGAAGGCGUUAAGGUUAAUAACCUUGGCGAUUGACGUUACCCGCAGAAGAAGCACCGGCUAACUCCGUGCCAGCAGCCGCGGUAAUACGGAGGGUGCAAGCGUUAAUCGGAAUUACUGGGCGUAAAGCGCACGCAGGCGGUCUGUCAAGUCGGAUGUGAAAUCCCCGGGCUCAACCUGGGAACUGCAUUCGAAACUGGCAGGCUAGAGUCUUGUAGAGGGGGGUAGAAUUCCAGGUGUAGCGGUGAAAUGCGUAGAGAUCUGGAGGAAUACCGGUGGCGAAGGCGGCCCCCUGGACAAAGACUGACGCUCAGGUGCGAAAGCGUGGGGAGCAAACAGGAUUAGAUACCCCAGUAGUC
rnacentral:rRNA from 1 species